UUUCCUUCCUCCCCUCCUUCCCUCCCUUCCUUCUUUCUUCUUCCUCCCACUUCUAUUUUUGAGACAAGACUUUAUGCAUAGCUUGAUCUCACACUGCUCACUAUGUAUCCAGUGCUGACUCUGACCUCCUGGUCCUCUUGUCUCCCCUUCCCUGAGGCUGCAGGGAUACACAUGCACCAUCACGUCCAGCUGAUGAUGUAGUCUCUCAGGAUGAUUUUCAAAGGAGAGUUAACGGUCUCACAGAUUGAACUACAGUCGUCUGUGUUUGGUUCAUCUUGAGCAAAGUGUCCUGAAACUCCAGGGUGCAGCUAUCCAGUCUCUGCCAUGAAAUCUCUGUUGAAUGGGUUUGUGUGUGAUGGCUAAGCAUGUCAAUAUACUGCAGGCCCAGUCCUGGAAAAGAAACAAGCUCCUGAGUCCUUGGGAUCCUGGCUUGGGCUCCUGACCUUUUGGCCACACUGGCCAAAAGCCCUUAGAAUAAAUAAAUUCUCCUUGUCCCAGUCCUGGAGUUAUAGGCAUGUGCCCACCUUUUACAUGGCUGCUGGGAUCUGAAGUCAGCUUGGAAGCCUCUCCACAUCUCUCUUUGUAGCUGCCCUGCUGAUGGUCCAAAAAUACUCACUGGAGCUAGGAAGAAAAACAAAUAACUAUUGUCCAUUUUUUUUCUCCAUCCACUGAAGGUGAACAUAUGCUCUGUGAGUGUCUGGAGAAAAGCAUGCUCCUGAGGUUGACCUGUAACUUAUGACAGCCCUUCUGCCUCAGACUAUGUAGCCUGUGUAGUCUGGAAUUAUAGUGUGAACCACAAUGCCCAGAAUCUGUUCCAAGGAGUCAAGCCUGCCAGAGAAAACAGACAAACUCUAAAGCACAACAAUGCCUAUUAUGUGUGGGGUGGGCACUGCCAGACUCUGAUUACUGUCCAGACAUUAACCCCUGGAGUGUCUUAGGAAAGAAAGACCAAGUCGGAAUCCAGACAUUUCCAGAAUUCUACAGACAUUUGUGGUGUGAGAACCUGUGUUUUUAUAGUAAGUACUGACAGAGGGACAGGCAAGUGAAAGACCCCACUGCUCCUGCCCUGCAUGUUUUCAAGCCUCAUUCUUCCAAGCAGACUAGACAGACCCCCUUGCCUCUGCCCUUGCCUUUGUGGGCUUGUCUGAUGAUGCGUGAGUAUAUGCCCCUUCCUACCUCCCCUAUGUGUGGUGUCCACUCCAGGUCAGAGGGACUCGUCAACUUCUGCAACCAUGGAGGAAACUCUGUGGGUUUGUUAAGGUCACCCCUUCAUAGUAAGGCUGCUGGAAACAAAAUGAAACACAAACAGAAAAACUCUUAGGAAAAGUUUCUUUCUCUUCCUCACACAUCCUUUGCAGGUCAACAGUCUCAGAUCUCAGAUAAGGAGAGCCCCCAAUGCUGCCCCCACUGAGAGGUUGAUAUAAUGUGUAAGCAGACUAUCUAGUAUAUGCCUGUAAACUGUCUAUGUGUGUGCUGUGCAGUAAGAGAGCUGGACUUAGGCAGUUCUGACUCAGGGCUAAUUACACAGAAUGGGAGGAAAAAGUAGGCGGGGGAUUUGUCAAGGCUGUCUCUACUUACCUUAUCUUUAUGUUACCCAUCAUUGAUAUCCUUUGGGUCAUUGCUGUGCUGUGCUAAAAGAAAGCCUCCAAAAUGAUAAAGUCAUCUUAACUAGAUGUAAUGAUGACGCCUAGGGAAGUCACUGCAGAUGCAAAAGCACCCUGAACUUUUCUGUUCAUUGAAAUGAUACGAUUCUAUAGGCUGUUUCAGAGAUGAGAUGUCUGUUCUCUGGAUGAAAAGGCACCUUGAAUGGAGGGCCAAGAAGAAUGGAUCUCAUUGUUGCCCUUGUUUCUUUCACCUUGAAGGCACAGCUGCUCAGUGUUUCCCCCCCACAGACCAUAAAUAUACAAAAAAGAAAUGUAGUGUCCCUUAGUCCAGAGGUUCUCAACCUGUGGGUCUAGACCCCUGUGGGGGAAUUACAUAUCAGAUAUCCUGUGUAUCAGAUAUCUAUAUUACGAUUCAUAGCAGUGGCAAAGCUAUAGUCAUGAAGUAGCAAUGAAACAAUUUUAUGGUCUGGGUCCCUACAAUGCAGUGAACUGUACUAAAGACUUGUAGCAUUAGGAUGGUUGAGAACCACCACAUUAGUCCAUUCUAAGGAAGGGGUCCCCCUCUGCUAACAUUGGUCAGUGCAGCAUCCUCAGAGUGGGGGAACCCUUUUGCAGCCAAGGGAGGGAUCUGGCUCCAAAGCAAGAGAACAGUGAACUUCCCACCAGGCUGCUUCUAAGCCUUACUGUUCUGUUCUGGACACAUGGAAGGCAAUUUACGUGGAUGUGAUCUGGAUCCUGGACAGCCCCCCUACCUUAGUUCUUUGGAAUUUCACUCUGAAAAAGAAAGGCCUCUCUUUGACAUUUAGGGGUUUAGGAUCUCAGACUGAAAACAUUCCCAGACUAGUGGUAAUAAUUCUGGCUUCUGUGCACAGUUUAAAAGAAGAAUAGUAGACUCUCUUAUAUUCAUUUUGGUGUCUUCUUAGCUGCCACAGUACUUAACAAAACACCUCAUUCCUACUUUUUAAAGGGUAUCCUGAGACUGCAUAUGAUUCCGGAUAUUUGCCGGAAACGCUGCCCAUUGUUUUCAAAGGGCGUGGGCCAAAUGCCCAUCAUUAAGACCCUGAAGUGAUUGCAUGGACAUGAAGAAGAGGAAUAGGCCUGCAUGAGAGAAAAUAACUGUCUGAGACUUCAUGAGUCUCAAACAAUGGGGCAGCUGCUUUCCUAUAAACAGAUGAUUAUUAUUAUUUCUACCUAGACAGCUUGAUAGCAGGCAUUAUCUUCUCUCUGAGUGUCUUAUCGAGUUCUGGCUGUGUGAGGCGUGGGUGAUAAGGGGUAAGAAAUGUCACCCAUGGGAUUGUCAAGGACUAUUUCCAUGCAGUCUGCACAGCAGCCAGUGUCUCAGAACUGAAAGGGAGUCCUAUUGUUCACACUGGGCCCUCACUCUUCCGACUACGCCGGGAGUGAAGAAAAGAAGACAGACGGAGCUGCUAUUGUGUGGGGGGAUUGAGAUUUCAUUACUCUCAGCUGAACGUCAAGCAGUCUUGAUUUUUGAAAAGCAGAAUCAGCUGUGGAAGAUUUUGAAGGGAGAGAAGAAGAAUGAAGUGAGCUCAGAGAUUCUUAGACCUGGGAAGGGGUGUGAAAAAAGAGAAUGUGGCGUUCUCAAAUCUCUGGACUUAAGAUCCGAGACACGUGAGCCCUGGAGUGAUGAGCAAUAUCCCCUAACCACAGUGUGCGAUCCAGUUCUUAUGUAUUCUCUCUCUCCUGCACCAGUCCUCAGGAAAUCAGUUUUUCAGAUUGCUCUUUCAUCAUCUCUUUCUUCAUCGUACUAAGUCCUGGAAAGGAAUUAAUAUGUUAUUGCAAUUAAACAUU